rnacentral:rRNA from 1 species
AGUGAACGCUGGCGGUAGGCCUAACACAUGCAAGUCGAACGGCAGCACAGUACUAGCUUGCUCUUACGGGUGGCGAGUGGCGGACGGGUCCGGGAUACCUCGGAGUCUACGUUUUCGUGGGGGAUAACGUAGGGAAACUUACGCUAAUACCGCAUACGACCUACGGGUGAAAUCAGGGGAUCUUCGGACCUUGCGCGAUUGAAUGAGCCGAUGUCGGAUUAGCGAGUUGGCGGGGUAAAGGCCCACCAAGGCGACGAUCCGUAGCUGGUCUGAGAGGAUGAUCAGUCACACUGGAACUGAGACACGGUCCAGACUCCUACGGGAGGCAGCAGUGGGGAAUAUUGGACAAUGGGCGAAAGCCUGAUCCAGCCAUACCGCGUGGGUGAAGAAGGCCUUCGGGUUGUAAAGCCCUUUUGUUGGGAAGGAAAAGCAGCAGGUUAAUACCCCGCUGUUCUGACGUUACCCAAAGAAUAAGCACCGGCUAACUUCGUG